UUUAAUUAGAGUUUGAUCCUAGCUCAGGGUGAACGCUGGCGGCGUGGAUAAGGCAUGCAAGUCGAAUGGGUUUAGACCCAUGGCAGACGAGGUAGGAACACGUAGGUACACACCCUCUAGUCGGGCAUAAUCCGUCGAAAGACGGGACAAUUCCCGAUGGCCUGUGCAUCUCACCUAGGUUCGAUGCAGAAUUACGAAUAACGAAUUAUGAAUUACGAAUGGAUGCGAGAGCAUAUAUUCCUGAUUCCUUAUUCCUACUUCCUGAUUCGGCACCGAGCUUGCGUGAGGUGCAUAGUAAAGAUUUAUCGCUAGAGGAGCGGCCUGCGGGCUAUCAGCUUGUUGGUAGGGUAACGGCCUACCAAGGCUAUGACGGCUAGGGGAGCUGAGAGGCUGACCCCCACCGANNNNNNNNNNNNNNNACCGAUGGAACUGAGACACGGUCCAUACAUCUACGGAUGGCUGCAGCCGAGAAUAUUCCGCAAUGGGCGAAAGCCUGACGGAGCGACGCCGCGUGAUUGAUGAAGUCCUUCGGGACGUAAAGAUCUUUUAUGCGGGAAGAAGUUUAUUGACGGUACCGCAUGAAUAAGGGGCUCCCAACUCUGUGCCAGCAGGAGCGGUAAUACAGAGGCCCCGAGUGUUACCCGGAAUUACUGGGCGUAAAGGGUGAGUAGACGGCUGUGUUAGUCCUCUGUUAAAUCCUCCUGCCUAACGGGAGAAAAGCAGGGGAAACGGCACAACUUGGAGGGUGCGAGAGGUGUGCGGAACUCAUGGUGUAGGGGUGAAAUCCGUUGAUAUCAUGGGGAACACCAAAGGCGAAGGCAGCACACUGGCGCACUCCUGACGUUGAAUCACGAAAGCGUGGGUUUCGAACGGGAUUAGAUACCCCGGUAGUCCACGCCCUAAACGAUGUUCCCUGGCUUUUCGGAGUAUCGACCCUCUGGGAGGCGAAGCUAACGCGUUAAGGGAACCGCCUGGGUAGUACGGCCGCAAGGCUAAAACUCAAAGGAAUAGACGGGGGCUCGCACAAGCGGUGGAUCAUGUGGCUCAAUUCGUCGGUAAGCGAAGAACCUUACCAGGGCUGGAAAUCCAGACGAAAGGUCCCAGAAACGGGAUCCCUCGUAAGACGGCUGGACAGGUGAUGCAUGGUCGUCGUCAGUUCGUGAUAUGAAUUGUUCCCUUAAGUGGGGUAACGAACGCAACCCCCGUUGCCUGUUAUAUUUGUCAGGCGAGACUGCCCCGUGAGAUGCGCAUGAAUCUUUCGUGCCUAUCUCACGGGGAGGAAGGUGGGGAUGACGCCAGAUCAGCAUGUCCCUUUGAUGCCCUGGGCUGCACACGUGAUACAAUGGCUACUACAACGCGACGCAAAGCCGUAAGGCGGAGCAAAUCGUCAGAAAAGUAGCCUCAGUUCGGAUUGAGGUCUGCAACUCGACCUCAUGAAGCUGGAAUCGCUAGUAAUCGCAGGUCAGCAACACUGCGGUGAAUACGUUCUCGAGCCUUGUACUCACCGCCCGUCAACUCAAGGAAGCCGGGAGUGCCCGAAGUCUCACUUUUGUGGGCCUAAGGUAAACUCGGUAACAGGGAGUAAGUCGUAACAAGGCACGGCUAGGGGAACCUGGUCGUGGAAUAAUUCCAAA
rfam:Candidatus Kaiserbacteria bacterium RIFCSPLOWO2_01_FTLL_51_21 rifcsplowo2_01_scaffold_18983, whole genome shotgun sequence.